rnacentral:rRNA from 1 species
GAUGAACGCUAGCGGGAGGCCUAACACAUGCAAGCCGAGCGGUAGAAGAUCUUCGGAUCUUUGAGAGCGGCGUACGGGUGCGGAACACGUGUGCAACCUGCCUUUAUCAGGGAGAUAGCCUUUCGAAAGGAAGAUUAAUAUCCCAUAAUAUUUUGAAUGGCAUCAUUUAAAAUUGAAAGCUCCGGCGGAUAGAGAUGGGCACGCGCAAGAUUAGAUAGUUGGCGGGGUAACGGCCCACCAAGUCAAUGAUCUUUAGGGGGCCUGAGAGGGUGAUCCCCCACACUGGUACUGAGACACGGACCAGACUCCUACGGGAGGCAGCAGUGAGGAAUAUUGGACAAUGGGUGAGAGCCUGAUCCAGCCAUCCCGCGUGAAGGACGACGGCCCUAUGGGUUGUAAACUUCUUUUGUAUAGGGAUAAACCUACC